CUUCGAUACGCAUAACAACGAUCCCACUGGGGACAAACAAAAGUAGCGUCGUCUCCACCGACCCAGUUGUCAGUGGCAACAUAUAGGAAUCGUGUACAUUUCUUCGUUUCUUCUUUGCUGUUUUCAGUGAGUGUUUUGUUUUCUCUUUGUCCUUGAUCUCGACGAUGUUGUCGUGCUCAUUACCUUACUGAGACGUCUCUUGUGACUGUAGCAAGUGUCAUGGAGGAUUUUAUUGGCGUGACAAGGUAGAUCGCCGAGAUCGAGCGUGAAAAACGCUCUGCAUUAGUAGCUCCUGUAGAAUGUUUUCUGGGUUGGCGUAUCCAUGGUCAACAAAACCAAGGUGCAAGACAGCAUGAGAGAUCGUGUAAACGAUGUGAACUCCAAAAGAUAAUCUGGCCAAAUUUAUUGUAACUAGAGAGUGCAAUCGUGCACUGCUUGGGGCCCAUCCCAAUGUCAUCACAUGGCUGUGGUGACUAGUGUAUAUCUGGGAGAAUUUUUCCUCGACUGAUACGGAGUGCAGGUGGAUCGAUUAUGAGAAAUGCGAACAUGUGAAGUUCAAGGCUAGACGAACUUCACAUUCGGCGUGCGAUCUCAGCGUCUGGGACCUGAUGAAGUCUUGGUUGGAUGAUUAUUCAAG